GCAGGCAGACACAGGCACAUUCAGUUGAAUUUGUGCCUUCUGAAUAUGCGGUGUUUUUUAGCUCCGUUGUUUUUGGGGUCUUCUUGGGUCAGCCCUAUUGUGCCAUUUUCCUGUAGACCUUCAGAUGCCCUCUCCUACUCAGUAUGCCCUGUGCUAGAACACUGUAUUCAAGUGGUUAAAUUUCCAUGAUGCAAGUAGAAACAAACCUUAUAAACCUUGUCAGAGGAAGAAGAUUCAGUGGUAUUAGAUGGCAGGGUUUAAAAUGUUUAAAGCCUAAAUCGGGAAAAGAGCUUGUAAGGCUUUUCUCCUACAGGUUGAAGUACCAAAAAGGCAUGGACCUGUGGUUCUGAAACCCCUGCUUAAGGUCCAGCAGGGCCAGGCUUCCAGAUGUGGUGUGGCAUGCUCUCUGCUGUGUAUCUUUUUCAGAAAACAGGAAUGUCGGAGGAAAUGAAUACCCAGUUUGCAGAAGCACUGGAAGACACAGAAAUGUGAAUAGUCUGCCUGGUCCUCAUUACUUCUCUCUCUGCUACAAUUUACCUGAGAAAUUAUGGGAAAAAAAGAAGAACUCUUCAGGAAUCAGUCAGGAAGAUCAAAAGACAAACUAAGAAGCCUGAGAAAUAAGGCAGGAACUGAUAUUGUCAGAAAUCCAUCAAAUCACAGUGAAAAACAGAGCAACAUGAAUUGCUGAAUAUUGGCAGAUAAAGAAAGUGAAAAGGCCUGGAUAAUUUCCACGAAUUAACCACAGAAGUAGACUCAAAGUGAGAAGGAAAGAGAAGCAUUUAAAGGACAGAGAUAACAUUAUAGUGGAGAAUUUGGCGAAAGGAAAAUGUCAGCUCCAAAACUGGUGCUUCUGGAUAGUAGAAUUAAAAUAAGGCACAUCAGAAAGAUUGACUCAAGAGUGGACCAAGACAGAGACUGAGAUGCUUCAAAAGAAAUGUGGAUAUAUUGGGGGGAAAAUAGCGUUUACUGAAAUAACCAUAAUUUAUAAAGAGAAGAAACUUGGAUUAAAGAAUAAUACUCAUAAAAAAUUACAUACUAAUAAUACCAGCAUUUAGUUCAUGAAUCCUGGAAACUAAAGUAGGAGCCAGUUGGGAGAAAAGGUAAAUAAUGUUAUAUUGUGUGUCUCUACUAUUACUUUAAUCAGCCUGACUUUUAUGUUAAGAACACUUAAGCUAGAAAAACCUGUUCAUCUCCUGUACAAAUAUUAGUAUAAAAUAGAUGUCUCAGAACAAUACCACAUCCACUAGCCAUUAAACACCUUGUAAUCAAACAAAAUAUUUAGUUUGUUUCAAAGCCAAUCCCAUGGGAUCAAGCUUAUUUCGUGUUUUAUCAACACUAAAGGAUACCCUGUCAUCUCUUAUCUGUCUUCUCAAGGAAAAAGAAUUCCUUUUUAAUUAGGUCAUUGCAGUUCUAAUGUGCUGCUGCUCUCAUAUAGACUCUUCCUGGUAUAUAACAAUGGAUAAAUACAGUAUAGCAUUUAAGGAGGUUUGAUGCUGGCAUGGAUAUAUUAAUAUGCAGGCUGUAGAGGAGGUAGAGACGACAGACUUUGAUAAUACAAAUUCCUUUCCUGAGUUUUGUCCCAGUUCUGACCAAACCUAAGGCUGGCAUUUAAGUUAGGGUCAUUUUUACCAAUACUGCCAAGCUAGGUAUUGAUAAUUGAUAUCAAAGGCCUACACUGUAGCCAUUGAAUAAAAUCUGCUUUUCAAGUCAUUCAGUGCUUAGAAAUCUAACAAAGAUCAAGAGAUGAUCAUCCUAUAUACAUAAUUCUGAGCUAUCCACACCAUAUUCUUUUGUGAGGUCAAGUCAGACAAGAGAAGUGGGAAGGAUUUAAGAGUGAUGUUGGUUGUUGUUCACCUGGAAAGGAGAUGGGUGAUAGUUUUCAGAGAAGAUUCAGUUUGUUUAUAAGUUAAAGGAGUUUAUUGAAAUAAAACAAAAACUACACAGCUAAUGCAUAAAAAUGUUGUUAAGCAGAAAGUCCAAAAAAUGUUGAAUUAAGCCUCAUUUUAAUUUAGAUUUAUUGUGAUAAAAAUAUUUUAAGACAUAGUUUUAAAACACCUUGUUUAUAAGACUUUAAAUUUUGAAAUAUCACCGUAUGUUUUUGUCCUUAAUACAGUUUAGACUGAAUUUUCAUUAUGUAAUAGUCAUAUUAAAAAAAUUAAUAGAUUCUGAAUUUGGCUCAAUUGCAAUUUUUUGCUAGGAACAAUUACAGAUUCUUCUAAAAGUAAUUAUAAAGAGAGUUGAUUAUUUGUGUGUGUCUGAGGCUGCCUCUGUAAUGUUAUUGUAACUGGACAAAUUAUAUAAUUGAAAGAAAUAGUAAUUUGCUACUGAAGUGCCAUAUAGUUGUUGUUCAGAGUGACUUUCAGUUUUGUAGCAGCUUCUUGGGACUGGAAUAUUUCUGCUAGAGGUGGAUCCUGAGUAACCUUUUCCUCAGAACCCUUCUUGUGGGGUAAUGUCAGACUGUUGCUGUACAUCACUUGUAAAGAUCUGAGGAAGAGAGAGUGAGUUAACGAGGUCAGGGAGUGUAGAGCCGCCUGUGCCAGUCUAUAUGCAAUAAAGGCCCUGUAUUACACAACUUGCAGUGGGGUUCAGAGCUCUUCUGUUUGCUGCUGUUCUUUCUGCCAACACUAUUGAUCAGUCCUUUGCCUUGUGUGCACUCCAGUCCAAAAUAAAGCUGUUCCUGCCCAGAGGGGCUUUUGCCUUAUCUUAGUCUCCAUUAUUCUGUGCAGCAAAUCAUUGAUAUGAAUUGAUGUUAACCACACCUAGUCUUUUGGGCUAGAGAUGGCUGUAGUUUGGCCUGUACGUUCCCUGUAAUUUGCCACACAUUUAGGCACAGCUCCCACCCUAGAGGAGUGUGCUAUUUGACUGACAGGGAGUCUGUGCUAGUGUAGGAUCUCAUGAGUAGCCCCUAGCUGUGGGAGGAAGUGAGCUGGUACAAGCUGAUGAAUCCAGCUAGUCACACCAGCAAGUGGUGUACAUACAGCAAGCACAGCCUUGGCUCUGCACACAGUGAGAAGCUGCUGUCAUGUGUGAACUAUCCCCAGACUUCUUCCAUCUCUCAGCUUCUCAACGGAUCUGGUAUAUGUCUCAUGUCAAUCAAAUAAAGCUUUGCAUUGUUCACCAGUUCCUGGCUCUCGAUCUUAUCAGCUACAGGAGGUCUUUUCAUGUUUUUUCUUUCCCUAUCCAAAGCUUUUUAGUCCUUCACACCUCAAACUGUAUUGUGAGUUCUGCCCAUCGUGGUGGAACUAUUAUCAAUAAUGUCUUUAUGAUAAAGCAGUCAAUAUGCUGCAAGGCUUCAUCACAGAUCAGCUUGUUAUAUCACCUUAUAAAUCAGCUCAUAUUGGUUGUGGGAAGUCAUCUUCUGUUAAAUAGCCAAGUUUUGUACUUGUCUGGCAGAGAGGUAAGGUACAAGAGCUUGGUACAGAUUUACUUUAGCAGAGAGCUUGAUCCUGUGUUGACCAUAUAGUUACCGUGAAAAUUCAUCAUAAAUUAUGAUUCUUUCCUUUUUUAGGAGAUCAUUUGUGUGUCUCCAAUGACAAGGUGGUUCUAAAUUAGGCAAACUCAUUAAUGACUUAAAACUUGGUUCUAUUGAUAGAUACAAAAUGAAAGUUACGUUUUUUUCCAGAGCUUUCUCAUAAACAGCCUUAGCAAUUUAUUCAGAGGUGUUCAGUAAGUAAAUCAUUAGCAUGAACAGAUCUUAUUAAUCCCUCUGCAAAGGUGAAUGAAAAAACACUGACUUUUGUAGUCUAAAUUGAGUCUGAGAACCCUUUUUGGAGGUUACAGAUCAUUGUGCCUCAUGGCCUAAGCAAGACAAGCAGGAUGUGCUUCAAGAUGCAUCCUGUUUUAAUGUUCCUUAUAACAACAAAGUGCUUAAAAGGGCUUGAUUGACCUUUAUUCUACCUUACAUCUCAUCAUGGAGAUACUUCAAAAUUAAGAACUGCUCUAGGCCAGGAGAGACUUUCCAGGAAUCUUGAAAGUCUGGGUUUCUGAUUGCAUCAGAGGUUUUAAUAAACUCAUUGAAGCAAUGUAAAUGCCUUAAGUUUUACUUCUUCCUUUUCCUGUCUUUCUAUGGUGAUAAAUGCUAUAAAAAAAUUCCUAUUGUUUGCCUGAAAACUGCUUUUUGAUUUCGCAAAAUAAGAAUUGGCAGAGUAUGAAUACUGUUAACACUGAUGCUCUACCACAGUAGUCUUUUAUGUCAUACAACUUGAUCUAGAUUCAGUGACAAACGGCCUUUAAUCCAGUUUGUCAGCAGGUAUGUCUGACUAAGAUAACAAGUCUGAGAAAUACAUGU